rnacentral:snRNA from 8 species
AUCGCUUCUCGGCCUUUUGGCUCAGAUCAAGUGUAGUAUCUGUUCUUAUCAGUUUAAUAUCUGAUACGUCCCCCAUCGGGGGACUACAUAUUAAAUGGAUUUUUCGAACAGGGAGUCGGAAAUGGGGCUUGCUCCGUCCGCUCCACGC